rnacentral:lncRNA from 1 species
UCCUGUCUGCCCUUGAUGGAGCCACUGGUGGGGGUACUUGCUGGGGGUCGGCCACUUUCGCCCCUCCCUCGCCAGCCCGCCAGCUCCCUAAGGUUCUGUGGUUUUUUGUCACCACCACACCUCAGUGUUGAGCUAAGUGAGGAGGUCCCCCCAGCAAAUGUAUUGGACGGAAGGAAACGGUGUGCGGGAGGAGGCGGAGGAAAGUAGGCCACCCGGGGCUCAGGUGAGAACAAGCACCAAGCCCUGUGGAUUUCAGAAGAACUCCACCUCCACGGAGUCCUCAAAGAUCUUCUCCUGAACUCCCCACUCCCCAGCCUUGAGAGGAGACACCGGAGCUGGAGGAAGCAGCUUUAUCCCUCACUUUGUGGUUCAGUCCAGCCUGUUUUCUAAGGAGUAAAGGGCAGUGGAAGGAUAACUAAGAAAAUAAUAAUAACAAAUGAAAGCAUCUCUGUGGA